AGGCCGAUCUUGCCCAACCCAUGCCAUGUCAGCCCUAAUUAAGACCGCAGCGCCAUGCUCCACACCAACUGCUAACGUGGCACCAUUGCCUUCGCACGAUUCAUCUGAAAUAAGCUAGACGGCCGGAUCCAAAGUACUCCUAAAAUUUAUAAGGGGAAUAGGGUUACAUUCCUUCCUUCGUCUCUAUCAUUCUGCAUCAUCCCUGUAGCCGCUGCUCUAUCACCACCGGCCUUUACCCAAUUUCAGUUGCUGAAAUUUCUCCGGUCCUACUGCAAUGCUGAUCAUCAGGAAUGAAACUCUAUUCAUAGCGAGCAUUGGUUCUGCCUAUGUCUUGGUCCAGCUUGGAUUCAUGGCUUUUGAGAAGUGGUCUGGGCGAGAUAAACGGUCCAGGUUGGAGGGCCUGUACGAUGGGACUAGCAAAGGGAAAAGGGAUUAGCUGUUUGUCUAGGUUGCUAAUGGGGCGAUGAAUUGAGUUUGACAUUCUGAUACUAGUAGUGAAAGUGCUGGCAUAGAUAUAUGUAACCUCUGAGAAGUUAUCUUGAAAAUUCUUUUGAUGUCUUCAUUAUGAGAAGUUAUCUUGAAAAUUCUUUUGAUGUC